rnacentral:rRNA from 1 species
UACGUAGGGACCUAGCGUUGUCCGGAAUCAUUGGGCGUAAAGCGCGCGUAGGCGGCCCGGUAAGUCCGUUGUGAAAGUCAAAGGCUCAACCUUUGAAAGCCGAUGGAUACUGCCGGGCUAGAGUACGGAAGAGGCGAGUAGAAUUCCUGGUGUAGCGGUGGAAUGCGCAGAUAUCAGGAGGAAUACCCAUAGCGAAGGCAGCUCGCUGGGACGUUACUGACGCUGAGGCGCGAAAGCGUGGGGAGCGAACAGG